UGCACACAUGACUGUAAGUCACUAUGGAUAAAAGUGUCUGCUAAAUGUAAUUUA
rfam:Salmo salar isolate Sally breed double haploid chromosome ssa17, whole genome shotgun sequence.